GACGAACGCUGGCGGCGUGCUUAACACAUGCAAGUCGAACGGAAAGGCCCUGCUUUUGUGGGGUGCUCGAGUGGCGAACGGGUGAGUAACACGUGAGUAACCUGCCCUUGACUUUGGGAUAACUUCAGGAAACUGGGGCUAAUACCGGAUAGGAGCUCCUGCUGCAGGGGGGGGGUUGGAAAGGUUCGGCGGUUGGGGAUGGACUCGCGGCUUAUCAGCUUGUUGGUGGGGUAGUGGCUUACCAAGGCUUUGACGGGUAGCCGGCCUGAGAGGGUGACCGGCCACAUUGGGACUGCGAUACGGCCCCGACUCCUACGGGAGGCAGCCGUGGGGAAUAUUGCACAAUGGGCGGAAGCCUGAUGCAGCAACGCCGCGUGCGGGAUGACGGCCUUCGGGUUGUAAUCCGCUUUCGCCUGCGACGAAGCGUGAGUGACGGUAAUGGGUAUAGAAGCACCGGCUCCCUACGUG
rnacentral:rRNA from 1 species